rnacentral:lncRNA from 1 species
AACGAAAUCCCAAGGUUGAACAUACCCUACUAGGACCCCAUAUAUCCGAAUGAACUAAAGAAAAAACAGACUCUGCACGACUCUCAAUACUACGAAGAAAGGAGGCGCGGGUAUGUUUCCCGAGCUGACAUGACUCACACUCUAAUGUGGAUAAACUGGACAAACGAGGCACCAUAUUCUGAAGUUUGCACAAGCUAGGAUGUCCUAAACAACCGUGAAGUAGGUCUGGAGGAUCUGCAGCUAGACAGGCCUUAGAGGAUGUUAGUGAGUGAAGGUAGUAGAGUCCGUCUGAUUCAAGUCCUGUUCCAACCGUCUGUCCCGUACUGCGGUCCAGCAUAAUAAAAGAGUCAUCAAUAAAAUAUAUUCCGCAAUGGAGGGCACGAGUCAAACGACUCA